rnacentral:rRNA from 1 species
GACGAACGCUGGCGGCGUGCCUAAUACAUGCAAGUCGAACGAGAGCACCCGGUGCUUGCACUGGUCAAUCUAGUGGCGAACGGGUGAGUAACACGUGGGUAACCUGCCCAUCAGAGGGGGAUAACAUCCGGAAACGGAUGCUAAAACCGCAUAGGUCUUCGAACCGCAUGGUUUGAAGAGGAAAAGAGGCGCAAGCUUCUGCUGAUGGAUGGACCCGCGGUGCAUUAGCUAGUUGGUGAGGUAACGGCUCACCAAGGCCGUGAUGCAUAGCCGACCUGAGAGGGUGAUCGGCCACAUUGGGACUGAGACACGGCCCAAACUCCUACGGGAGGCAGCAGUAGGGAAUCUUCCGCAAUGGACGCAAGUCUGACGGAGCAACGCCGCGUGAGUGAAGAAGGUUUUCGGAUCGUAAAACUCUGUUGUUAGAGAAGAACAAGUGCUAGAGUAACUGUUAGCGCCUUGACGGUAUCUAACCAGAGAGCCACGGCUAACUACGUG